rnacentral:rRNA from 1 species
ACUCCUACGGGAGGCAGCAGUGGGGAAUUUUGGACAAUGGGCGAAAGCCUGAUCCAGCAAUGCCGCGUGCAGGAUGAAGGCCUUCGGGUUGUAAACUGCUUUUGUACGGAACGAAAAAGCUCCUUCUAAUACAGGGGGCCCAUGACGGUACCGUAAGAAUAAGCACCGGCUAACUACGUGCCAGCAGCCGCGGUAAUACGUAGGGUGCGAGCGUUAAUCGGAAUUACUGGGCGUAAAGCGUGCGCAGGCGGUUAUGUAAGACAGAUGUGAAAUCCCCGGGCUCAACCUGGGAACCGCAUUUGUGACUGCAUGGCUAGAGUACGGUAGAGGGGGAUGGAAUUCCGCGUGUAGCAGUGAAAUGCGUAGAUAUGCGGAGGAACACCGAUGGCGAAGGCAAUCCCCUGGACCUGUACUGACGCUCAUGCACGAAAGCGUGGGGAGCAAACAGGAUUAGAAACCCGAGUAGUCCCAUGAU